rnacentral:misc_RNA from 1 species
AUGUCGUGUUCAGUUUGACCGACCAGAGCUUGGGGUUGAAUUUGUCAUGGACAUUGAUUGCAUGCCUCUAAAUCCAUUUGAAAACAUGCCCACAUUACUUACAAGGCAUGCUGAUGCUGUUGAUAAGUUUUUUGAGAGCUCUAAUGAGCUGAAGAUAAAUGCACGAGCAAAUGAAUUUAUGCAAUUUCCGGCUGGUGACAGCCAAGAGAAUGGCGACAUUUCCUCUCAUUUCUCCCCGCCAAAUCAUCCCAUCAGUAAUCUCCUAAAGCAGACAAAGGUGGUUUCAGCAGAAGCUGAUAUGCAAUCUAAAUCUGGAGUCAUGGAAACGACCGCAUUUCAACAGAUCGCAUAUUCAAAGCCUUCUGCUGUCGCUCUGAUUCAAGCAAAGGAAGCUGAUGUUCAAGCUCUUGCAGAGUUGACUCGUGCACUAGACAAAAAGGAUGCAGUUGUUUCAGAGUUGAGGCGCAUGAAUGAUGAUGUCUUGGAAAACCAAAAGAGCGGCGACUGUUCUCUCAAGGACUCAGAGCCUUUCAAGAAGCAAUAUGCGGCCGUGCUAAUACAGUUAAAUGAAGUCAAUCAGCAAGUUUCAUCUGCUCUAUAUCGCUUGAGACAGAGGAAUAACCAUCCGGGAAACAUGUUACUUG